rnacentral:tRNA from 13 species
GACUCCGUAGCUCAGUUGGUAGAGCAAAUGACUCUUAAUCAUUGGGUCGACGGUUCGAGCCCGUCCGGGGUCA